rnacentral:rRNA from 1 species
GAUGAACGCUGGCGGCGUGCCUAAUACAUGCAAGUCGAGCGAAUGGAUUAAGAGCUUGCUCUUAUGAAGUUAGCGGCGGACGGGUGAGUAACACGUGGGUAACCUGCCCAUAAGACUGGGAUAACUCCGGGAAACCGGGGCUAAUACCGGAUAACAUUUUGAACCGCAUGGUUCGAAAUUGAAAGGCGGCUUCGGCUGUCACUUAUGGAUGGACCCGCGUCGCAUUAGCGAGUUGGUGAGGUAACGGCUCACCAAGGCAACGAUGCGUAGCGGACCUGGGAGGUGUCUCGGCCACAAUGGGACUGAGACACGGCCCAGACUCCUCCGGGAGACAGCAGUAGGGAAUCUUCCGCAAUGGACGAAAGUCUGACGGAGCAACGCCGCGUGUGUGAUGAAGGCUUUCGGGUCGUAAAACUCUGUUGUUAGGGAAGAACAAGUGCUAGUUGAAUAAGCUGGCACCUUGACGGUACCUAACCAGAAAGCCACGGCUAACUACGUGCCAGCAGCCGCCGUAA